UACGUAGGUGGCGAGCGUUGUCCGGAAUUACUGGGCGUAAAGGGCGCGUAGGCGGCUCUUUAAGUUAGAUGUGAAAACCCAGGGCUUAACUCUGGGACUGCAUUUAAAACUGAAGGGCUCGAGUGCAGGAGAGGUAAGUGGAAUUCCUAGUGUAGCGGUGAAAUGCGUAGAUAUUAGGAGGAACACCAGUGGCGAAGGCGACUUACUGGACUGUAACUGACGCUGAGGCGCGAAAGCGUGGGGAGCAAACAGGAUUAGAUACC
rnacentral:rRNA from 1 species